GGUAAUUUGGCCGAGUUGGUCUAAGGCGCGGCACUCAAGUUGCCGUCUUCGUAUGAAGGCAGGAGUUCGAAUCUCCUAGUUACCA